GCCUGGGUGGCUUAGCUGGUUAAGCCUCUGACUUCAACUCAGGUCAUGAUCUCGCAGUUUGUGAGUUUGAGCCCCACGUUGGGCU
rnacentral:tRNA from 1 species